rnacentral:rRNA from 1 species
CGACCGGCGCACGGGUGGGUAACACGUAUCCAACCUGCCGUCUACUCUUGGCCAGCCUUCUGAAAGGAAGAUUAAUCCAGGAUGGCAUCAUGAGUUCACAUGUCCGCAUGAUUAAAGGUAUUUUCCGGUAGACGAUGGGGAUGCGUUCCAUUAGAUAGUAGGCGGGGUAACGGCCCACCUAGUCAACGAUGGAUAGGGGUUCUGAGAGGAAGGUCCCCCACAUUGGAACUGAAACACGGUCCAA